rnacentral:tRNA from 1 species
CCGCCCCUCUAGUAUUUACUUGCUAGUAUUUACUUGCAAAUGAUUCAAUUUCCACUUCCACUAUUGAUUAAUUUA